ACAAUAUCGUCGCUUUACGGCACCGUUAGUUUGUAACACCUGAAUACUAUCCAAUUCGAGAAGUGAUGCAAAGGGGAAUAAUCUGCUCCAGGGUCAAACUGUCUCCAUCAUAAAAGCUUUACAAACUGCACAGGUAGUGUUUUGAGCGUCUAAAUGAGAACUCACGAGUCGUGGCGUUCUGCUCGCAUUGUAGCGAUGGUCGGGUUCCCCUGGAUGUGGAAGGACAGGAGGUGGCAGAAGCAGCAUGCAGUUCAGCGAUAGAACAGUUCCUUCUGCCCUGGAAUUCAAAUGGAGUCUUUUUUCCCCCUACUAUUUUUCAAGGGAGUCCUGGCCAAGAGGCAGCAAAAGACACAGUUACAUAAAAAUGCAUGUCAUACACAUGAAGAAAAACAGUUGCAGUUUUAAAACAUCAUCUCAAGUGCUCUCAAUCUGGACUUAAAAGCGUUCAAUGAAAUAAGUUCAGUUCAUUUUCAGUCUUUUUGCAACAUGUUCCAUGUAAAAGGAGCUGAGUGAGUGAACAAAAGACCAUUUUCCCAGUUGUGUGCAGUGAGCAACAAAUGAUCAGAGUCAACAAUCGUCGGUGUGAUGAAGUUAGAAGACCAAGCAUGGCCUUACAAAUACAAAUAUACCAAUGACCAGGUCUCCUUGACUGCUAACUAAUUAGACAACAUGCACGCAAACAAAAAUAUGUGCGAAUAGGAGAUUCUGAUUUUCUUUUAAACUGAAUCUACACAACAAAUUCUGCUGCCCGGGUGGGGGGACUGCCUGAAAGGAUGAUGUUGCGCUCGUACCCACAGGACAUAAACCUGAGAGCUCAGCUCGCCCAACUUCCUUCUGUUUUUGUGUGUUGUUUGCCUCAUAAGUCAGUCUCAGACACACAGUGGGACUGAUGACAGAGCACCAUUUGUCUUUUCCCUUUUACUCCCCCUCUCCAUCCUUUGCAAGCGCAACCACAACCUUGCAGCUCACGGAUCACGAAGUGGCCGACACUUAGCUGGUCAGGCUGGAUUCAUGCGCCACACGGCAAAAGCGAUUGCUCUUCCUUCUAAUUGAUAAUGAUAACCUCCACCUUGCAUAAAAGGAAUAAACAGAAAUAAAUAAUAAUCUAGCAACACUAAAUUGGUCAAGUGUGUGAACGUUGUCCGUCUAUCUGU